UACGUAGGGUGCGAGCGUUAAUCGGAAUUACUGGGCGUAAAGCGUGCGCAGGCGGUUCGUUAAGUCAGAUGUGAAAGCCCCGGGCUCAACCUGGGAACUGCAUUUGAAACUGGCGGGCUUGAGUGUGGCAGAGGGGGGUGGAAUUCCCAGUGUAGAGGUGAAAUUCGUAGAUAUUGGGAAGAACACCAGUGGCGAAGGCGGCUAACUGGUCCAGAUCUGACGCUGAGGUGCGAAAGCGUGGGGAGCAAACAGG
rnacentral:rRNA from 1 species